rnacentral:snRNA from 1 species
AGAUGUGAGGGCUAUCUGACUACAACAUGUCACCCCAUUGAUCAUUAGGGUUGGUUUUUCCAUAUGUGGUUGGCCAGGCAAGUGUCCCCUUCCUCCCCCACUGUUCCGUGUCCCUCCUGAAUCCACAAGCUGGUUGAAGAGAACAGACUUCCCUAAGCAGUAACUGACUAUUCUUUAGUUGAAGAAACACAAGUAGAUGUGCUCCCCUGUGAGAAUCACCUAACAAGUUUUCAAGAAAAAAAAAAACAACAAAAAACUAGAGUUGGGAAAUUUGUUAGUAUGUUUCAAAGAAGAGAAAAUGUAGAUCUCAUUUU